rnacentral:rRNA from 1 species
GAUGAACGCUGGCGGCGUGCCUAAUACAUCCAAGUCGAGCGAACAGACGAGGAGCUUGCUCCUCUGACGUUAGCGGCGGACGGGUGAGUAACACGUGGAUAACCUACCUAUAAGACUGGGAUAACUUCGGGAAACCGGAGCUAAUACCGGAUAAUAUAUUGAACCGCAUGAUUCAAUAGUGAAAGACGGUUUUGCUGUCACUUAUAGAUGGAUCCGCGCCGCAUUAGCUAGUUGGUAAGGUAACGGCUUACCAAGGCAACGAUGCGUAGCCGACCUGAGAGGGUGAUCGGCCACACUGGAACUGAGACACGGUCCAGACGCCUACGGGAGGCAGCAGUAGGGAAUCUUCCGCAAUGGGCGAAAGCCUGACGGAGCAACGCCGCGUGAGUGAUGAAGGUCUUCGGAUCGUAAAACUCUGUUAUUAGGGAAGAACAAAUGUGUAAGUAACUAUGCACGUCUUGACGGUACCGAAUCAGAAAGCCACGGCUAACUACGU